GUGUCAGCCGCCGCGGUAAUACGGAGGGGGUUAGCGUUGUUCGGAAUUACUGGGCGUAAAGCGCACGUAGGCGGAUCAGAAAGUUGGGGGUGAAAUCCCGGGGCUCAACCCCGGAACUGCCUCCAAAACUUCUGGUCUGGAGUUCGAGAGAGGUGAGUGGAAUUCCGAGUGUAGAGGUGAAAUUCGUAGAUAUUCGGAGGAACACCAGUGGCGAAGGCGGCUCACUGGCUCGAUACUGACGCUGAGGUGCGAAAGUGUGGGGAGCAAACAGGAUUAGAUACCCUGGUAGUCCACACCGUAAACGAUGAAUGCCAGUCGUCGGGUAGCAUGCUAUUCGGUGACACACCUAACGGAUUAAGCAUUCCGCCUGGGGAGUACGGCCGCAAGGUUAAAACUCAAAUGAAUUGACGGGG
rnacentral:rRNA from 1 species